rnacentral:tRNA from 1 species
GUCCGAGCGGCCGAAGGUACUUGUCUCGAAAACAAGUGUGCGUGAAAGCGCACCGAGGGUUCAAAUCCCUCC